rnacentral:lncRNA from 1 species
GACUGGUGUAUCCUGCUUUCCUAACACAAAAUUUUAACAGCAAGAUAUAGCUGAGUGCCUUCCAAAGAGGCUUUCUGCCAGUGCUACAGGUUGUGAUGGAACAUUCCAAACAUUCCACAGCGCCAAAUUUAGCGUUUGUGGCCAUUUCAGGGGAGCAGUGUUCACUUCACACGUCUUGACGCCAUCCAGAACCACAGUGGUUUACUGGUUUCCCAAUUACAGUUACUGCACUUCAACCAUGGAUUCUUUCUGUGACAUUCUGUUUGCUACAGAGAAUGCUCUAACUGGCAGUAUGUGUGGGAACCUGCACAAGAUUCUCAAAAGCAUGAAUGAAUCUUCAAGUAUGUCUGAGUACCAAGAAGACCUGCUAUUGAUGCAGCUAUUAAAUGUCCUAUGCAAAUGA